UGGGGAAUAUUGCGCAAUGGACGAAAGUCUGACGCAGCGACGCCGCGUGUGGGAUGAAGCCUUUCGGGGUGUAAACCACUGUUGCCCGGGACGAAACUCCUUUUUCGAGAGGAUUGACGGUACCGGGUGAGGAAGCACCGGCUAACUCUGUGCCAGCAGCCGCGGUAAUACAGAGGGUGCGAGCGUUGUCCGGAAUCACUGGGCGUAAAGGGCGCGUAGGUGGCUUGGUAAGCGUGUGGUGAAAGCCCGGGGCUCAACCCCGGGUCUGCCGUGCGAACUGCCUGGCUUGAGCGUAGUAGAGGCAGGUGGAAUUUCGGGUGUAGCGGUGGAAUGCGUAGAGAUCCGAAAGAACACCGGUGGCGAAGGCGGCCUGCUGGGCUACUGCUGACACUGAGGAGCGAAAGCGUGGGGAGCGAACAGGAUUAGAUACCCUGGUAGUCACGCCGUAAACGGUGGGCGCUAGUUGUGAGAACCUUCCACGGUUUGUGAGACGCAGCUAACGCAUUAAGCGCCCCGCCUGGGGAGUACGAUCGCAAGAUUA
rnacentral:rRNA from 1 species